UUAACACGAAGUGAGUGGCGGACGGGUGAGUAACACGUGGGUAACCUGCCCAGAAGCAGGGGAUAACACCUGGAAACAGAUGCUAAUACCGUAUAACAGAGAAAACCGCCUGGUUUUCUUUUAAAAGAUGGCUCUGCUAUCACUUCUGGAUGGACCCGCGGCGCAUUAGCUAGUUGGUGAGGUAACGGCUCACCAAGGCGAUGAUGCGUAGCCGACCUGAGAGGGUAAUCGGCCACAUUGGGACUGAGACACGGCCCAGACUCCUACGGGAGGCAGCAGUAGGGAAUCUUCCACAAUGGACGCAAGUCUGAUGGAGCAACGCCGCGUGAGUGAAGAAGGGUUUCGGCUCGUAAAGCUCUGUUGUUAAAGAAGAACGUGGGUGAGAGUAACUGUUCACCCAGUGACGGUAUUUAACCAGAAAGCCACGGCUAACUACGUGCCAGCAGCCGCGGUAAUACGUAGGUGGCAAGCGUUAUCCGGAUUUAUUGGGCGUAAAGCGAGCGCAGGCGGUCUUUUAAGUCUAAUGUGAAAGCCUUCGGCUCAACCGAAGAAGUGCAUUGGAAACUGGGAGACUUGAGUGCAGAAGAGGACAGUGGAACUCCAUGUGUAGCGGUGAAAUGCGUAGAUAUAUGGAAGAACACCAGUGGCGAAGGCGGCUGUCUGGUCUGUAACU
rnacentral:rRNA from 1 species